AAUUGAAUGUGAUUUUUCCUAUGCUAUUUUUAUACAGAUGUAUCAUCAAAUAGAUAAGUUCCAUUAUUACAGCAAAUAACACAAAAAUUUGGAUAUUUCGCAUGCCUGGGAAACGUUUUUCUGAAACCAUGAAAAAACACUUGGUUCAGUCUGUCUGAACACCGACCAGAUAUGUAUCUAAGAUAUUAAGACGAUUCCUGAAGAAACGCCAAAACGUACACGGAGAAAACGGAAAAUACUAAUUAGAGUGCUUUUUAUUACAUUCAUGCUAUUCUUUUUGUAUAACCAUUGCAAAUCAUAAAGAAUAAGCAUCACCAUCUUUAAGUUUAUACCUUUCAAUGCAUUUCCAAAAUGUAUAUUUUUGCUUGAAUUUUGUGAUGCCAAUGUUACUCUUGCAACUUAGUGAUGUUAUUUCAGUAACAGCACCAUGUUCAACGGCUGCUCCUCGAAAAUUAAACAAGUUUUUGCUAGCUUCAGGGAGAGAAAAUUGUGAUAUACAGCGAUCUUUCUAAUGCUAAAGAAGCAGGAAACGGAGCUGAUUCGGAGAUUCAAGAGCAGAAACAAACUUCAACGUAUCCAUCGAGCUGGUUGUUGAAGCAUUUAAGGCUUGAUCGGGAUUAUUAACAUCAACUGCAAAAGAUGAACCAAACUAUUAGGCAUAACGGAUCAUCCACGAUAAGUUCCGUUUUUUCCAGCCAAAUCAGGAUCAGAAUGCUGUUCGCCAAGAAAUCAUUCAAUGACGGCAACUCCUUGCACAUGCUAGUGAGUAAAGUACAGAGGAAACGAAACGAUGGCGUGCACUUUUCUUCAUAUAUUAUACAUUAAAUACAGCUGGGACAAAUAAACAUGUUUCUCCUUGUU